CGGAAGGUCUCUUCUCCCUGCGUCUCCUUCUCCCUCGCACCAGAAUGAAAGGCUCCUAACUCGCUGCACUCCACAGGUCUGCUUCUCCUCCUCCCUCGCAGUCGACGGUCAUCUCCUCCUCUCUCGUUGCACAGGGCUCCGAACUGUCGGUGCGUCUCCUCCUCCCUCAUGUUUCCACAGGUCAGACAGCACAGGUACCCGGACAACCACCAUGAUCUUUGGUGGCGUUCAAGUGGUAAGAUCGAGGGGUGGUUACUGUGGCGAGAGAUAACAUGAGCUUCAUCCAAAACUUCACGGAUAUUCUGGUGAAGGCAUUGGGCCAUGCCAUAACACCAGGGUCAAGUAAGGCAACGACUCUGACAGUGCCAACUUCAUGAAUAUUUUGGGAGGAUGCAACCUAUUACUACAUUUUUUAUUUCAUGGAAGUGUUGGAGGCAGCUUAUCAAAACAAGAUUUCCUGGUUUCCUGGUUGCCAAACGAUGAUUUCCUGGUU